UACGUAGGCAGCAAGCGUUGUUCGGAAUUACUGGGCGUAAAGAGUGUGUAGGCGGUGUUCUAAGUUUGGUGUGAAAUCUCCCGCUCAACCGGGAGGGUGCGCCGAAUACUGAGUGACUAGAGUGCGGGAGAGGAAAGUGGAAUUCCUGGUGUAGCGGUGAAAUGCGUAGAUAUCAGGAGGAACACCGGUGGUGUAGACGGCUUCUGGACCGUAACUGACGCUGAGACACGAAAGCGUGGGUAGCAAACAGG
rnacentral:rRNA from 1 species